rnacentral:snRNA from 1 species
AAAUUUAUUUGCUUUAUAAAUAAUUAUUAUAAAAGUAAAUUGGAUUACUCAUUGGAUGUGCUGACCCUUGUGAUUUCCUCAAACAUGGGAAACUCAAAUGCUUAAUUUGUGGUAGUGGAGGACUGUGUUCCUGUUUUCCCUUG